AUGGGGAAUCUUGCACAAUGGGGGCAACCCUGAUGCAGCGACGCCGCGUGAGCGAUGAAGCCCUUCGGGGCGUAAAGCUCUUUCGACCGGAACGAUAAUGACGGUACCGGGAGAAGAAGCUGCGGCUAACUACGUGCCAGCAGCCGCGGUAAUACGUAGGCAGCAAGCGUUGUUCGGAGUUACUGGGCGUAAAGAGUGCGUAGGCGGUUUUCUAAGUUCGGUGUGAAAUCUACCGGCUUAACUGGGAGGGUGCGCCGAAGACUGGGAAGCUGGAGUGUGGGAAAGGCAGGCGGAAUUCAUGGUUUAGCAGUGAAAUGCGUAGAUAUCAGGAGGAACACCGGCGGUGUAGACGGCUUGCUAGACCAUAACUGACGAUGAGGCACGAAAGCGUGGGUAGCAAACA
rnacentral:rRNA from 1 species